ACCCCUGCAUUGUAAGGGCAGAGUCUUAACCACUGCACUGCCAAGUCCCAGAGGCUUCAGUAAUUUGGAUGAGAGAUGAAGGUAGCUACGACCAGAGUGACUGUAGUGGAGAUUCUGAGAAGUAGAUUCUGGAUUGGAGGUGGGUGACUGAGCAAAGGAGGAGUCCAGAAUAACUCCUUGGUUCUGGACUUGAGCAAAUUAUAAGGAUGGAGAUGCCAUCAUCGGGAUAAGGAGACAGUGCAGAAGGAACAGGAUUUGGCAGGAAGGCCAGGAAUGCCAGUUUAGGCACAGUUUAUCCUUAAGCAACCCCUCCCGGGGCUACCACUCAUUCCUGUAUGAUCUGUGAUGCAGCUGUUGAUGUCCUUAGCUUCCCCCUCCCUCCGCCAGCUGAGUCUUUUUCUGACGUCCACCCUUCAGUAUGCCUUUGCUUCGGAGCAUCUUCUCACACUCUCAGUUCAGUACAACACGUUGGAUAAGUGAGCUGUUUCUCACAUAUGAGGAUGGUGCUUUUGAACCCCAGUCAGCAAGGAGUGAGCUCUGUGCUGUUUCUCUCCCGGUGACGGGGCCUGUGCUGAGUCAUCCACUCUGGCCGGCAGCAAACGUUUGUGAAGACAGUCACCAUGGAUUAUGAGUUUGUUCUGUGGCUGGUGGUAAAAUUAUGUUUGUUAAUUUCCCAGGCUAAUUGCUCAUUCUAUCCUGAAACAAGCUGGCCCACAGAGCUAUCCCAUCUUUGGACCUGGCUUUAUCUGUGCCAUAUUUUAUCAAAUGGGGGUAACGGAUGGAGAUGCACUGUUUAAGAUGGCUGAUCUGGGAUAGACCCACUCAUAUGAGAGUACGUCGGAGACCUACUUUGCCUUUUGACGCCAAAGACAGUGGUUGUCACAUAAGAGGGUCAGUGGAAAUCAACCAACAGCAAGAAAGCACUGAAUACAAAAGAAGGAGUGGAGGGGAGGGAAGAGCUUGUCCUGCAGGAAAAGGACGCUGAGAAGGGCCUUGGGGCUACAAAUGACGGACAGAAACACAGAGAAGAGAGUCAGCGCAGAGUGGUUGAGGGCAGUCAUGUGCUAAAAAGUCCCCAGGAGCAGAGCCACGUGCCUGACUGGCAACCUCCUCUCUCCCUCCUGACUGAUAUGAAAAAGGAGACGUGCGGAUCCUUCUCGGCUCUCUUUCUUCCCGUUGCUCUUCUGUGACUCAACCAAGAGGGUACUCCAAUCCAUACCAAAGACAUCUCCAGAUACCAACAAAGGAAAGUUGACUGGAAUGAUCAGAAACAAAAGUCCUGUCUCAAACACAGAUCACUGAAUGCUGUGACUCUUCGGUUGCUUGGGCUUCCCCGGUGGCUCAGCGGUAACGAAUCUGCCUGCCAAAGGA